rnacentral:rRNA from 1 species
UACGGGGGGGGCAAGCGUUGUUCGGAAUUACUGGGCGUAAAGGGCUCGUAGGCGGCCAACUAAGUCAGACGUGAAAUCCCCAGGCUCAACCUGGGAACUGCGUCUGAUACUGGAUGGCUUGAAUCCGGGAGAGGGAUGCAGAAUUCCAGGUGUAGCGGUGAAAUGCGUAGAUAUCCGGAGGAACACCAGAGGCGAAGGCGGCCUACUGGGUCGGUACUGACGCUGAGCCGCGAAAGCCAGGGGAGCGAACGGG